AUGAACGCUAGCUACAGGCUUAACACAUGCAAGUCGAGGGGCAGCAUGGUCUUAGCUUGCUAAGGCUGAUGGCGACCGGCGCACGGGUGAGUAACACGUAUCCAACCUGCCGUCUACUCUUGGCCAGCCUUCUGAAAGGAAGAUUAAUCCAGGAUGGCAUCAUGAGUUCACAUGUCCGCAUGAUUAAAGGUAUUUUCCGGUAGACGAUGGGGAUGCGUUCCAUUAGAUAGUAGGCGGGGUAACGGCCCACCUAGUCAACGAUGGAUAGGGGUUCUGAGAGGAAGGUCCCCCACAUUGGAACUGAGACACGGUCCAAACUCCUACGGGAGGCAGCAGUGAGGAAUAUUGGUCAAUGGGCGAUGGCCUGAACCAGCCAAGUAGCGUGAAGGAUGACUGCCCUAUGGGUUGUAAACUUCUUUUAUAAAGGAAUAAAGUCGGGUAUGCAUACCCGUUUGCAUGUACUUUAUGAAUAAGGAUCGGCUAACUCCGUGCCAGCAGCCGCGGUAAUACGGAGGAUCCGAGCGUUAUCCGGAUUUAUUGGGUUUAAAGGGAGCGUAGAUGGAUGUUUAAGUCAGUUGUGAAAGUUUGCGGCUCAACCGUAAAAUUGCAGUUGAUACUGGAUGUCUUGAGUGCAGUUGAGGCAGGCGGAAUUCGUGGUGUAGCGGUGAAAUGCUUAGAUAUCACGAAGAACUCCGAUUGCGAAGGCAGCCUGCUAAGCUGCAACUGACAUUGAGGCUCGAAAGUGUGGGUAUCAAACAGGAUUAGAUACCCUGGUAGUCCACGCCGUAAACGAUGAUUACUAGGUGUUGGUGGAUAUGGAUCCAUCGGUGCCGCAGCAAACGCAAUAAGUAAUCCACCUGGGGAGUACGACCGCAAGGUUGAAACUCAAAGGAAUUGACGGGGGCCCGCACAAGCAGUGGAGUAUGUGGUUUAAUUCGACGCAACGCGAAGAACCUUACCAAGUCUUGACAUCCUGCGACGGAUAUAGAAAUAUGUCUUUCCUUCGGGACGCAGAGACAGGUGGUGCAUGGUUGUCGUCAGCUCGUGCCGUGAGGUGUCGGCUUAAGUGCCAUAACGAGCGCAACCCUUGUUGUCAGUUACUAACAGGUGAUGCUGAGGACUCUGACAAGACUGCCAUCGUAAGAUGUGAGGAAGGUGGGGAUGACGUCAAAUCAGCACGGCCCUUACGUCCGGGGCUACACACGUGUUACAAUGGGGGGUACAGAGGGCCGCUACCACGCGAGUGGAUGCCAAUCCCUAAAACCCCUCUCAGUUCGGACUGGAGUCUGCAACCCGACUCCACGAAGCUGGAUUCGCUAGUAAUCGCGCAUCAGCCACGGCGCGGUGAAUACGUUCCCGGGCCUUGUACACACCGCCCGUCAAGCCAUGGGAGCCGGGGGUACCUGAAGUGCGUAACCGCGAGGAUCGCCCUAGGGUAAAACUGGUGACUGGGGCU
rnacentral:rRNA from 1 species